rnacentral:rRNA from 1 species
AUUGAACGCUGGCGGCAGGCCUCACACAUGCAAGUCGAACGAGUGGCGGACGUGUGAGUCAUGUCUGGGAAACUGCCUGCUGGAGGGGGAUAACUACUGGAAACGGUAGCUAAUACCGCAUACCAUCAGAUUUUCCACGAUGGGAUUAGCUAGUUGGUGGGGUAACGGCUCACCAAGGCGACGAUCCCUAGCUGGGCUGAGAGGGUGACCAGCCACACUGGAACUGAGACACGGUCCAGACUCCUACGGGAGGCAGAAGUGGGGAAUAUUGCACAAUGGGAGCAAGCCUGAUGCAGCCAUGCCGCGUGUAUGAAGAAGGCCUUCGGGUUGUAAAGUACUUUCAGCGGGGAGGCGUUACCCGCAGAAGAAGCACCGGCUAACUCCGUGCCAGCAGCCGCGGUAAUUC